ensembl:lncRNA
AGAAAAGCUUCAGAUCCAGUGGUCAGACCUCCAGUAUGACACAAAGCAACCCGCCAUGUGAGGUGCAUAGACUGUGUCAUGAAGUAUUUCGCAUUGACAGAUGUUGUUUAUGCUGUGCACCCAUGUCCUCUAUCAGAUGGCAAGGCCUGAGAUGCAAAGAAUGCCGUCGUGUUUGGCACAAAUCCUGUCUCCUGAAGGCCUCUGAAGACUGGGACAUGUCUGAAAGUGAUGCGUCUUCUGGGGAGCAAUACAAUCCCAACAAUUCCUCUGAGAGUUCAGAUGCGGAAUCAGAAUCCGAUGCUAAAUCUAAAACUCUGCCGGAUGUAGGUGAAGAUGCUCUUCGGGUUGCUGUGGCUAAAGAACCGAGCACGUACAUCUGUGACUCCAUGACAGCUCCAAUGCAGGAUGCAAAGGAAACAAAUGCAGACUCGGAUGAACAUGAUGGAAGUCAUGGAAAACGGCAAUUGAAAAGCCAAAUCAAUUAUUGCUUCAUUUGCAAGAAACCCCAAACAAAAUUUGCUCGGCACUUAAAAAGGCAUGCACACCAGAAUGCAGAUGUCGCCAAGGCGUUAUCACUACCUCCAAGUUCAUGUGAGAGAAAGAAAAUUUUGGAAAAAUUGCGGAAUCUUGGUAAUUUCUCACAUAAUACAGAAGUCCAAGCCACUGGAUCCGGGGCUCUAAAAGUCAAAAGAGAAUCUAAAACAAGCAAUGUCUCUGAGGCAUAUGAUUUCUGCACCCACUGCAAAGGGAUGUUUUCCCGUAGAGAACUAUGGAAACACAUGAAGCGAUGCCUGCUCAAUUCGGCAAUGACAGAGGAAACAAGUGCAGGAAGGAAAAAAAUUACAAGUUUGUCUAAAUAUGGAGCAUCUGAAAGUGUAUCUCAAAAGCUCUUGGCAUUGAUCGAAAAAAUGCAUAAAAAUGAAGUCUAUGACGCAAUCAUGAAUGACUUCUUUGUUCUCCGGUUUGGGUCAACAAUGUACAACAAACAUGGACUUGACAAGUCUAAACAUGACUACAUCCGCCAGAAGCUAAGAGAAUUGGGCAGAUUGCUUGUAGCUUUGAGAAAUACGUCAACUAUAGACUCUGUGAAAGAAGCAGUCAAACCAUCCAAUUUCAAGACUCUUAUCAAGGCCGUGAAGAAGGUCGCUGGCUUUGAUGAAGUAACUGGAAUCUACAAAUCACCCAGUUUGGCCCUUAAAAUUGGGCACUCCCUCCGGCGGGUUAGUGAACUGAUUAUGUGCCAGUUUCUUAUGGAUGAGGAUGACGAGGGGGUCGAGUCAAUCAGAAGGUUCCACAAAUUGUACGACACCCAGUGGUCAGAAUUUGUUUCCCACUCAGCCUUGACAAAUUUGAGCGAUGCUAAUUACAACAAGAGCACAACCAUCCCUCUAGCAGAGGAUGUUCAGAGACUUCAUCUCCAUCUUCAGCAGGAGGCAGAUUUGGCUACAGAGAACCUGAACAGUACAUCAUCCACAGGUACUUAUGCAGCCCUGGCUAAACUAACACUAUGCAAAGUCAUUCUAUUCAACAGGAGGAGGUCUGGUGAAGUCUCAAAGAUGACUUUAAAAAAUUUCCUGGAUCGGGAUAACUCAAAAAUCAACGACGACAUAACCACAGGACUGAACAAAAUCGAGAAGAGACUUUGUCAGCAGCUCAAUAGAGUCGAAUUGAAGGGGAAAAGGGGACGCAAAGUCGCGGUCCUCCUCACACCCGACAUGACUGCUUCAUUAACUCUCCUUGUCAGCAAAAGGAAAGAGUGUGGAGUCGAUGAUGGCAAUGGACACCUCUUUGCAAUUCCCCACUGUCAAGGUUUCUUCAGAGGACAAGACUGCCUCCGUAAAAAUGCUCGAGCUUGUGGAGCUGUUAACCCGUGCAGUUUGACCUCAACUAAUCUACGCAAGCAUAUUGCGACAAUUAGUCAGGUCAUGAAUCUAAAAGACAAUGAAUUGGACCAGCUUGCAAACUUCUUAGGCCAUGACAUACGGGUGCAUCGGGAAUACUACCGCUUGCCCCAGUCGACGAUUCAGCUUGCAAAAAUAUCUAAGCUGCUGAUUGCCAUGCAGGGCGGGAGUGUGAAAGACAUCCAAGGGAAGUCACUCGACCAGAUAGGCGAUGACGUAGAAGAUUUUGCCCCUACUCCCAAUCAUCCUGGUCCUCUUCCUGGAACUGGCAUCCAAGGUGGCGUGGAAGAUUUCGCCCCUGCUCCCAAUCAUCCAGGUCCUCCUCCUGAAACUGGCAUCCAAGGUGGCGUGGAAGAUUUCGCCCCUGGUCCCAAUCAUCCAGGUCCUCCUCCUGAAACUGGCAUCCAAGGUGGCGUGGAAGAUUUCGCCCCUACUCCCAAUCAUCCAGCUCCUCCUCCUGAAACUGGCAUCCAAGGUAAACACAUUCCAUCUGAGAGGAGGCGCUGUGUUAAGAGACCGUGGUCAGGCACUGAAGCAAAGGCUGUGAUGAGGCACAUGGAGCCAUACGUUCGCAACGGACUUCUCGUCACGAGCGCUCAAUGUGCCAUGUGCAAAAAAAAAGAACACCCCGCAUUGGAAGGACGCACAAUUCAAAACAUUCGCGAUUUUGUGAGAAAUAAUGGCCAAAAAAAAAAAAAAAAGUAGUAUUCAGUAUUCACCCAUGGAAUUGUCAACACUACUGUCCUUGAAAUAAAGGCCUAAAGAAUAAAAAAAGAUAUUCAC